CUCUUUUGUAAUGUCUUCGUUAUCAGAGCCCUUCAAAUUAGAAUAGUGGUGAUGAUCUUGUCAAUGCUGAGGUUUUCAUGCAUCAACAGCCACUACAUCUGGAUCAGAUUGAACAAGAAACAGACAGCAAGGGUUGUCAGAUCAGAAACAGAAUGACACACAAACACAAGAAACUUCACAGGCAGAUCAACAUGCAAUUUGAAGACGAGUGAUAAAAUACAGAGAGGUGAAGUAGUGUGUCUUUCCAGAUCCCCAAAUCAUUCCCCCUUAAAAG